rnacentral:tRNA from 1 species
GCCUGGAUAGCUCAGUUGGUAGAGCAAAGGACUGAAAAUCCUUGUGUCGGGGGUUCAAUUCCCUCUCCAGGCACCA